GACGGAGGGGGCAAGCGUUGUCCGGAAUCACUGGGCGUAAAGGGCGCGUAGGUGGCUUCGUGCGUCGGUGCUGAAAGCGCCGGGCUUAACCCGGCGAGGCGUGCCGAUACGACGAGGCUCGAGGCAGGGAGAGGGUAGCGGAAUUCCGGGUGUAGUGGUGAAAUGCGUAGAGAUCCGGAGGAACCCCAGAGGCGAAGGCGGCGCCCUGGCUCGCAACUGACGCUCAGACACGACAGCAUGGGGAGCGAACGGG
rnacentral:rRNA from 1 species